UAAAGUUGUUGUAUUUCAUGCAU
rnacentral:piRNA from 1 species